rnacentral:rRNA from 1 species
AUACGUAGGGUGCGAGCGUUGUCCGGAAUUACUGGGCGUAAAGAGCUCGUAGGUGGUUUGUCGCGUCGUCUGUGAAAUUCCGGGGCUUAACUCCGGGCGUGCAGGCGAUACGGGCAUAACUUGAGUACUGUAGGGGAGACUGGAAUUCCUGGUGUAGCGGUGAAAUGCGCAGAUAUCAGGAGGAACACCGGGGGCGAAGGGGGGUCUCCGGGCAGGAACGGGAGCUGAGGGGGGAAAGCAGGGGUAGCGAACCGGAUUAGAUUCCCUGGUAGGCCAUGGCGGAAACGGUGGUCGCUAGGUGUAGGGGUCUUCCGCGACUUCUGUGCCGUAGCUAACGCAUUAAGCGCCCCGCCUGGGGAGUACGGCCGCAAGGCUAAAACUCAAAGGAAUUGACGGGG